rnacentral:rRNA from 1 species
AGAGUUUGAUCCUGGCUCAGGACGAACGCUGGCGGCGUGCCUAAUACAUGCAAGUCGAGCGGACAGACGGGAGCUUGCUCCCUUAGGUCAGCGGCGGACGGGUGAGAAACACGUGGGUAACCUGCCUGUAAGACUGGGAUAACUCCGGGAAACCGGGGCUAAUACCGGAUGCUUGAUUGAACCGCAUGGUUCAAUCAUAAAAGGUGGCUUUUAGCUACCACUUACAAAUGGACCCGCGGCGCAUUAGCUAGUUGGUGAGGUAACGGCUCACCAAGGCGACAAUGCGUAGCCGACCUGAAAGGGUGAUCGGCCACACUGGGACUGAGACACGGCCCAGACUCCUACGGGAGGCAGCAGUAGGGAAUCUUCCGCAAUGGACAAAAGUCUGACGGACCAACGCCCCGUGAGUGAUGAAGGUUUUCGGAUCGUAAAACUCUGUUGUUAGGGAAGAACAAGUACCGUUCGAAUAGGGCGGUACCUUGACGGUACCUAACCAGAAAGCCACGGCUAACUACGUGCCAGCACCCGCGGUAAUACGUAGGUGGCAAGCGUUGUCCGGAAUUAUUGGGCGUAAAGCGCGCGCAGGCGGUUUCUUAAGUCUGAUGUGAAAGCCCCCGGCUCAACCGGGAAGGGUCAUUGGAAACUGGGGAACUUGAGUGCAGAAGAGGAGAGUGGAAUUCCACGUGUAGCGGUGAAAUGCGUAGAGAUGUGGAGGAACA